rnacentral:lncRNA from 1 species
GAUUACCGUUACUGGUUCGGUUCACGAGACUGAGGUAGCCUAAACCGGAAGCGGCGUCGUCUUGGUUACGUGGGACAACGAGGAAGGCGAAACCGUGACCAGGGGUAGGGUUUGUGUUGUGAGGAGUGAUGGAGAAAGUGAAAGAGGUCUUGAAAGGGUAAACAGAAGAAGCGUUGUUGGGAGGCUUGAAGGUGAUUGGGUUGAUGUAAAUGGCUCGACCAUGAGAGAAAGGAAUUCUGAAUUGGGUCAAACCGAGAGCACCCGACCGGCUCAUCCGACCGGCGUCGGGACCAUACUCUGCGUCUCCAUGGAACGAGAAGAGAUCAGAGCCAUUUAUACCGAAGUUGUUGAAUUGGAAUCUGUAAGCAGAAGUGGCUUGAGAGAUGGAGAUAGCUAUGAAGAGAUUGACGAAGCAGAGUGUUUGCAUGGUCAUCUUUGCUCUCUUUUAGAGAAGUGAAGUCAAGAUGAUGAACUUUAUAAAGAUGGAAGUUGUUGUAAUAAUGUGAUGGUGACAAGUUCGAUAAAACUUUUUACGCCCUUUGGAUUUUAAAAUUAAUAUUUAGGAUUACAUAUUAAUAUAUAGAUAUUUUAAUUUAUAAGCUUGUGUUACUUUUAUUUGUUUCUUAAUAAAGUUAUACUACUCAUAUUUUUAGAUUUUAUUAGAGUUAAAACAAAAUGUAUUAAUAAUUCAAUUUUUAAUAUAAUUAGAAAAUUUAAAAAAUUAAUUAUGUGUAUGCAGAGAGAGUAUUGUUCAACAAGAAAAGUAAUGGUAAUGGUGAAAAACAAAGGACAAUGAAACUGAAUUAUGAAUUAAAUUAUAAUGGCAUUAGAUGACAAAAGUUGUUUUCGAAGUUCCCAAGACAUGUCUUCUUUUCAUGCUGGAAAUAGAACUUUAUAACUGGUGGAGAGAAUAAAAAAACACAAUAGAAUUAAAUUCUGGAAAUCUUCUAAUUUGUUGUCAUAUCCUCUGCUCCUUUUGAUCAACCAAAAUAUAAUAAAACUCAAAAUAGAAUUAAAUUCUAGUUUAACUACUUUACAUUUUUACUUUAACUACUUUACUUUUUACUCUAAAAUAAAGUAAGGAGUAAAUACAGAGAAAUACUGAAAAGCAUACAAUUGUUUUAUUUAAAAAUAAUUUCACUUUUUUACUUUAUUUUAAAAUUAAAAAAUGGAUAUGAUUAAGAAAUUAAAAAAUGGAUAUGGUUAAUAAACUUUAUUCCAAAAUAGAAUUUAUAGUAUAAAAUGGAGUUGAGUCAAAAAAUUUAAGAAUAUUUUAUUGUAUUACUCUAUUUUUUUAUUUACAUUUGAUUAGCUUGAAAAUAAAAUUAAAAUUAAAAUUUCUCUAAUUUUAUUCUAUUUACAGUAAAGUAGAAUAAUAAAUAAAUAUAAAUAUAAUAAUAUAUAUGUUAUUUCUUUUGAAUAAUUAAAUUAUUACUUCAUUUGAAAUUAGAAAAUGGAGUAAUGUAUUUUUGAUUAAUAACGAUGGAGAAAGGUUAGAAGAAUGUAUUUUUGAUUAAUAACGAUGAAAAAAAAAUUAAUGGAGAGAACUGAAGAUGUCCUUGCAUGGCUAAUAAAUAGUUUUAUAUAGACUUUGCUUUAUAAUUUUCCACAUGACUACACAAAUUGUUAAUCUAAAUUGGUAUGUACCGAAUUUAGGUACGAAUUAAAUUUGAUACUGAAUUAUUUAGAAGAUGUUUACUGAGAAAUCAAAUGUUUGAUUAUAAGAGAAAAUACUAGAAAUUUGUAUACAGUUUAAGUAUUCUGCAAGAAGAAUUCCUUAUCUUAUACCGACUUAUGUUUUAUUAUGAACUCCUAUCUUCGAUAUAUGUUUUCUUUUGUUAUAGCCGGGUUUUUUUUUCUUUUUAAAGUUGUAUAAACCGAUUCUAAAUUAACUGGGUGAAAUUUAAUGUAUUUAAUGGGGCUUGUUUGAGAAAACCGAUUCUUAUUGGUUUUUCUUUUAAGUUAUACCGAUGUGUGUUUGUAUUAUAAGAGCAUCUCCCAUGGUGUUACCACCAUUAGAAUCCUUAGCAUUAUUAAACUUUUUUUUUUAAUUUUUCUUUGUUUGAAUAGUUAAAGAUUCUAAUCAAAAUUGUAUAUCCAAUGUUAUUCUCCAAUUUGGAGUUCUUGGGAAUUAAAAAUAUUAAAUUUUAAAACAUGUGAAAUUAAAUUUUUAUUUAUUACAUGUUAAAUAUAAAGAUACAAUAAAAUAUUAAAAUAAAAUAUUAAAAUUUAAAAAUUUUGGUGAAUGUUAAAUAGAUUUAACUCCAUUAAUUUUUUUUAUUUAUUACAUGAUUAAAUAUAAAGGUACAUGAUUAAAUAUAAAGAUAAAAUUUUAAAUUUUAAAACAUGUGCAAUUAAAAUUUCUAGCGACCCAAUGGCACAAUGCCACGUCUCUAAGGACUAAAUCCUUAAUUAAAAACCAAUUCUUAGCUAACUUAAGUUUUAUAAUAUUAUUAUAUUCAUAUUAACCUAGGAUUUUGUGGUAAGGACUUGUGAUAAACCUCCAUUGCGGCUGCUCUAAUACACUUAACAUCAGUACAACAAGAAACUAAAUUUUCGAAUUUUUUUUGGUAUUUAAAACCAUAAUUAUCGCACGAUCCUAGUUUUUCAACUAAAUGAAUGAUUUAAUUAAAUAAAAAAUAAAUAAAAACUGUGUUACCGAUCCUUAGUUAGGAUGUUUGGUGAUCGAUCCUUAAGCGCACGUGUCAGCUUGUUGUUUUUGUUUUUUUUCUAUACAAAAGCUUGUUGUUUUUUUCUCAUUUAAUCUUUUUUUAUCUCAUUUAAUCUUUUUUAACUCAUUUAAUAUAUUUUUUUCCUCUUCUAUAGAUAUCCCUACAAAUAUCGUCAAUAUUAUGGGUGUUUGAACUAGAAUUCGUGAUAAACAAAUGCAUCAACAACUGAAAGUUGAUUUGGUUGAACAUAUAUGACGUCAAUUUGGACGUGAUGAAGACAACAAAUGAGUUCAGAUGUUUUUUCAAAUUAUUCUUGAUUAUUGUACUAAUCUUUAUUUUUAUGUUUUUUAACAUCUAUGUUUUAAAUGUUAUUUUUUAAUAUGUUUUAUUUAAUAAAUAACUUUUAUCCUUAAAUUUUUUUAAACCAUUAAUUAAGAAACUCCCAUUGGACCACUCAAAAUGGGAGUUUCUUAACUAAAGUUCUUAAGUCCACUUAAAUACAUUUAUAUAAUUAAAUUAUCAUUAAGAAACCCAAGUGGGUUUCAUGGGAUAAUCAUGCUCUAAGUCUUUGGUGUGUUUCAAAAACAAAAAUGUCUUUGGUAUUAGAGUAUUAAGGUAGAGUGUUGUAUUUUUUGUUUUUGAAGUCUGAAAACUUGAUAACUUGAGCAUUUAUUCACUUCAACUAGUAGCGGGAGCCACACUAACAGAAACAUAAACAAAUCAAACGAUAAGCGAUUUGAACCGAGUAAAUCCGGUUUAUUAUUAAUAGACUCGUUUUUUUUUAAAUUAUUAAUAGACUCGUAUUGGGUUCGUACUUCGUUCUUUUAGGUUCUACCGAAGUGGGUUGUAUAAAUACAAAAAGAAAUACAAAUUUUGAUUUUGGUAUUUCAAGUCUUUGGUAUUAGGUAGAAUGUUGUAUUCAUUUUUGAAAUUUAGAAACCGACAUCUUGAGCAUUUAUUCACUUCAAUUAUUAGCGGGAGCCACUAACCGAAGCUAUCAAAACAAAACAAAAACAAACCAAGCAAAACCGAUUUAAACCGAUCUCAAAUCGAAUAAAUCCGGGUUAUUAAUUCUGGAAAGUCCAGUCCCAGAUCUCAUGACGCUCGACACCACGGCCCAUUGAACCAGCAAAACCGGCGUACAUGUUCUCGAGCAGCACAUUAGAGAGAUCGUAUUUCGCUUCAAUCAAAGGCCGGUUCGGUUUCUUCAAAUGCGCGAGCCCGAUCGUAACCGAGAUCACUUUUAAAUUGUUGUUAUACUCGAUCCAAGCCGCGUACUUAUCUCCACUGCUCAGCUUCAAAUCCUUGAACAACCAACCGUUUCUUGUCAUGACCCAAUAACCGGAUUUAACCGAAGUCACAGAGUCGACCGAAUUAAUGUCGAUUCCGACAUGGUUAUCGUUGAUGUCUUUAAAAGACUUGUCCUGAAACACAUCGAACUCAACAGCAAAGAGGUGGUUACUUGGAUUACCGUUACUGGUUCGGUUCACGAGACUUAGGAAGCCUAAACCGGAACCGGCAUGUUGGUUACUUGGGACGACGAGGAAGGCGAGACCGUGACCAGGAGUAGGGUUUGUUUUGUGUGGAGUGAUGGAGAAAGUGAAAGAGGUCUUGAAAGGGUAAACAGAAGAAGCGUUGUUGGGAGUCUUGAAGGUGAUUGGGUUGAUAAGAAUGGCUCGACCAUGAGAGAAAGGAGUUUUGUCUUUGGUCAAUGAGAGAGAACCGGACCGGGUCGUGCCGUCGGUGUCGUGACCAUACUCUGCGUCUCCAUGAAAUGAGAAGAGAUCGGUGCCGUUACCGA